rnacentral:rRNA from 1 species
UUAGGCGUGUGACUGCGUACCUUUUGUAUAAUGGGUCAGCGACUUAUAUUCUGUAGCAAGGUUAACCGAAUAGGGGAGCCGAAGGGAAACCGAGUCUUAACUGGGCGUUAAGUUGCAGGGUAUAGACCCGAAACCCGGUGAUCUAGCCAUGGGCAGGUUGAAGGUUGGGUAACACUAACUGGAGGACCGAACCGACUAAUGUUGAAAAAUUAGCGGAUGACUUGUGGCUGGGGGUGAAAGGCCAAUCAAACCGGGAGAUAGCUGGUUCUCCCCGAAAGCUAUUUAGGUAGCGCCUCGUGAAUUCAUCUCCGGGGGUAGAGCACUGUUUCGGCAAGGGGGUCAUCCCGACUUACCAACCCGAUGCAAACUGCGAAUACCGGAGAAUGUUAUCACGGGAGACACACGGCGGGUGCUAACGUCCGUCGUGAAGAGGGAAACAACCCAGACCGCCAGCUAAGGUCCCAAAGUCAUGGUUAAGUGGGAAACGAUGUGGGAAGGCCCAGACAGCCAGGAUGUUGGCUUAGAAGCAGCCAUCAUUUAAAGAAAGCGUAAUAGCUCACUGGUCGAGUCGGCCUGCGCGGAAGAUGUAACGGGGCUAAACCAUG